UCCUACGGGAGGCAGCAGGAGGGAAUAUUGCGCAAUGGGCGAAAGCCUGACGCAGCGACGCCGCGUGGGGGAAGAAGGCCUUCGGGUCGUAAACCCCUUUCAGCAGGGACGAAAUUGACGGUACCUGCAGAAGAAGCGCCGGCCAACUACGUGCCAGCAGCCGCGGUAAUACGUAGGGCGCAAGCGUUGUCCGGAUUCAUUGGGCGUAAAGGGCUCGUAGGCGGUUUGGUAAGUCGGGUGUGAAAACUCAGGGCUCAACUCUGAGACGCCACUCGAUACUGCCAUGACUAGAGUCCGGUAGGGGAGUGUAGAAUUCCUGGUGUAGCGGUGAAAUGCGCAGAUAUCAGGAGGAAUACCGAUAGCGAAGGCAGCACUCUGGGCCGGUACUGACGCUGAGGAGCGAAAGCGUGGGGAGCAAACAGGAUUAGAUACCCUGGUAGUCCACGCCGUAAACGUUGGGCACUAGGUGUGGGCCCCAUCCAACGGGAUCCGUGCCGUAGCUAACGCAUUAAGUGCCCCGCCUGGGGAGUACGGCCGCAAGGCUUAAACUCAAAGGANUUGACGGGGGAA
rnacentral:rRNA from 1 species